CUGGACAGUAGCCAAUAGGAAGAGAGAGAGAGAGAGAGAGACUGCACAGUAGCCAAUGGGAAGAGAGAGAGACUGGACAGUAGCCAAUGGGAAGAGAGACUGAACAGUAGCUAGGCACUUAAGUAACUUAGCAGCUUUACACCCAACUGCGGAAGGAAGCAGAAUCAGCGGCUGGAAUCCACGUAACGCCUAGGGAGACAGAGACAGGAGGACUGCUCACAAGUUCUGGGCCAGCUAGGGACUAUGUAGUGACACCCUAUCUCAAUAAAAUAAAAUCAAAUUUUAAAAACCAUCGAAGAACCAUGCUUUCCCAGGUGUACCCUGUCGUUUUCUGAGACUCUGCCAAGCAGAUGAUGCAGCUGUCAGCACUCAGGAUGCGUCCUAGCUCCCGCAUGUCAUGUAAGGAUGCCGUCAACCCCUUUGACUCUGGUUUCAU
rnacentral:lncRNA from 1 species